ACAACUCUCAGCAACGGAUAUCUUGGCUCUUGCAACGAUGAAGAACGCAGCGAAAUGCGAUACGUAGUGUGAAUUGCAGAAUUCCGCGAAUCAUCGAGUCUUUGAACGCAAGUUGCGCCCGAGGCUUGACCAAGGGCAUUUCUGCCAGAGCGUCACCG
rnacentral:rRNA from 1 species